rnacentral:rRNA from 1 species
UUGUCUCAAAGAUUAAGCCAUGCAUGUCUCAGUACAAGCCAUAUUAAGGUGAAACCGCGAAAGGCUCAUUAAAUCAGUUAUGGUUCCUUAGAUCGUACCCAGGUUACUUGGAUAACUGUGGUAAUUCUAGAGCUAAUACAUGCAAACAGAGCUCCGACUGGAAACGGAAGGAGUGCUUUUAUUAGAUCAAAGCCAAACGGUAACUUAAUGUUGUCGUACAAUAAUAUUGUUGACUCUGAAUAACUUUAUGCUGAUCGCAUGGUCUUGCACCGGCGACGCAUCUUUCAAAUGUCUGCCUUAUCAACUGUCGAUGGUAGGUUCUGCGCCUACCAUGGUUGUAACGGGUAACGGGGAAUCAGGGUUCGAUUCCGGAGAGGGAGCCUGAGAAACGGCUACCACAUCCAAGGAAGGCAGCAGGCGCGCAAAUUACCCACUCCCGGCACGGGGAGGUAGUGACGAAAAAUAACGAUACGGGACUCAUCCGAGGCCCCGUAAUCGGAAUGAGUACACUUUAAAUCCUUUAACGAGGAUCAAUUGGAGGGCAAGUCUGGUGCCAGCAGCCGCGGUAAUUCCAGCUCCAAUAGCGUAUAUUAAAGUUGUUGCGGUUAAAAAGCUCGUAGUCAAAUUUGUGUCUCGUGCCGCUGGUUCAUCGUUCGCGGUGUUAAUUGGCGUGAUACGAGACGUCCUGCCGGUGGGCUUUCAGAUUUUUCCGUAUUUCAGGACCAUAACAAUUGGUUUGUAUCUGUGGCGUAAUACUGCAGUGCAGGGCAAUUGGUUAAUGAACGGUUGGUUUUUGUGCUACCCAAACUUACAAUCCUGUCGCGUUGCUCUUGAUUGAGUGACGAGGUGGGCCGGCACGUUUACUUUGAACAAAUUAGAGUGCUUAAAGCAGGCAAAAUUUCGCCUGAAUAUUCUGUGCAUGGAAUAAUGGAAUAGGACCUCGGUUCUAUUUCGUUGGUUUUCGGAACUCCGAGGUAAUGAUUAAUAGGAACGGAUGGGGGCAUUCGUAUUGCGACGUUAGAGGUGAAAUUCUUGGAUCGUCGCAAGACGAACAGAAGCGAAAGCAUUUGCCAAAAACGCUUUCAUUGAUCAAGAACGAAAGUUAGAGGUUCGAAGGCGAUCAGAUACCGCCCUAGUUCUAACCGUAAACUAUGUCAUCUGACGAUCCGUCGACGUUCCUUUAUUGACUCGACGGGCAGUUUCCGGGAAACCAAAGAUUUUGGGUUCCGGGGGAAGUAUGGUUGCAAAGCUGAAACUUAAAGGAAUUGACGGAAGGGCACCACCAGGAGUGGAGCCUGCGGCUUAAUUUGACUCAACACGGGAAACCUCACCAGGCCCGGACACCGGAAGGAUUGACAGAUUGAGAGCUCUUUCUUGAUUCGGUGGGUGGUGGUGCAUGGCCGUUCUUAGUUGGUGGAGCGAUUUGUCUGGUUAAUUCCGAUAACGAACGAGACUCUAGCCUGCUAAAUAGGCGACAUAUGACAUCGCAAAGGCCAGCCGGUUUGAUUUAAAGGGUGGCGAGGUGGCGUCAAGGCGUUUAUCUCGUGCUCUUGUCAGAUUGUGCGCGGUUUUUACUGUCGGCGUAUAAAUAAUUCUUCUUAGAGGGACAGGCGGCUUUUAGCCGCACGAGAUUGAGCAAUAACAGGUCUGUGAUGCCCUUAGAUGUUCUGGGCCGCACGCGCGCUACACUGAAGGAAUCAGCGUGUCCUCCCUGGCCGAGUGGCCCGGGUAACCCGCUGAACCUCCUUCGUGCUAGGGAUUGGGGCUUGCAAUUGUUCCCCAUGAACGAGGAAUUCCCAGUAAGCGCGAGUCAUAAGCUCGCGUUGAUUACGUCCCUGCCCUUUGUACACACCGCCCGUCGCUACUACCGAUUGAAUGAUUUACUGAGGUCUUCGGAUCGAUGCGCGAUGACGUCUGACGUUGAUCGAUGUAUCCGAGAAGAUGACCAAACUUGAUCAUUU